UGGGGAAUAUGCACAAUGGGGGAAACCCUGAUGCAGCGACGCCGCGUGAAGGAAGAAGUAUCUCGGUAUGUAAACUUCUAUCAGCAGGGAAGACAAUGACGGUACCUGACUAAGAAGCCCCGGCUAACUACGUGCCAGCAGCCG
rnacentral:rRNA from 1 species